rnacentral:rRNA from 1 species
UUAAGCGACUAAGCGUACACGGUGGAUGCCCUGGCAGUCAGAGGCGAUGAAGGACGUGCUAAUCUGCGAAAAGCGUCGGUAAGGUGAUAUGAACCGUUAUAACCGGCGAUGUCCGAAUGGGGAAACCCAGUGCAAUUCGUUGCACUAUCGUUAACUGAAUACAUAGGUUAACGAGGCGAACCGGGGGAACUGAAACAUCUAAGUACCCCGAGGAAAAGAAAUCAACCGAGAUUCCCCCAGUAGCGGCGAGCGAACGGGGAGCAGCCCAGAGUCUGAAUCAGCUUGUGUGUUAGUGGAACGGUCUGGAAAGUCCGACGGUACAGGGUGAUAGUCCCGUACACCAAAAUGCACAGGCUGUGAACUCGAAGAGUAGGGCGGGACACGUGGUAUCCUGUCUGAAUAUGGGGGGACCAUCCUCCAAGGCUAAAUACUCCUGACUGACCGAUAGUGAACCAGUACCGUGAGGGAAAGGCGAAAAGAACCCCGGCGAGGGGAGUGAAAAAGAACCUGAAACCGUGUACGUACAAGCAGUGGGAGCACCUUCGGGUGUGACUGCGUACCUUUUGUAUAAUGGGUCAGCGACUUAUAUUCUGUAGCAAGGUUAACCGUAUAGGGGAGCCGCAGGGAAACCGAGUCUUAACUGGGCGUUAAGUUGCAGGGUAUAGACCCGAAACCCGGUGAUCUAGCCAUGGGCAGGUUGAAGGUUGGGUAACACUAACUGGAGGACCGAACCGACUAAUGUUGAAAAAUUAGCGGAUGACUUGUGGCUGGGGGUGAAAGGCCAAUCAAACCGGGAGAUAGCUGGUUCUCCCCGAAAGCUAUUUAGGUAGCGCCUCGUGAACUCAUCUUCGGGGGUAGAGCACUGUUUCGGCUAGGGGGUCAUCCCGACUUACCAACCCGAUGCAAACUACGAAUACCGAAGAAUGUUAUCACGGGAGACACACGGCGGGUGCUAACGUCCGUCGUGAAGAGGGAAACAACCCAGACCGCCAGCUAAGGUCCCAAAGUCAUGGUUAAGUGGGAAACGAUGUGGGAAGGCACAGACAGCCAGGAUGUUGGCUUAGAAGCAGCCAUCAUUUAAAGAAAGCGUAAUAGCUCACUGGUCGAGUCGGCCUGCGCGGAAGAUGUAACGGGGCUAAACCAUGCACCGAAGCUGCGGCAGCGACACUAUGUGUUGUUGGGUAGGGGAGCGUUCUGUAAGCCUGCGAAGGUGUGCUGUGAGGCAUGCUGGAGGUAUCAGAAGUGCGAAUGCUGACAUAAGUAACGAUAAAGCGGGUGAAAAGCCCGCUCGCCGGAAGACCAAGGGUUCCUGUCCAACGUUAAUCGGGGCAGGGUGAGUCGACCCCUAAGGCGAGGCCGAAAGGCGUAGUCGAUGGGAAACAGGUUAAUAUUCCUGUACUUGGUGUUACUGCGAAGGGGGGACGGAGAAGGCUAUGUUAGCCGGGCGACGGUUGUCCCGGUUUAAGCAUGUAGGCUGAUUGUCCAGGCAAAUCCGGAUAAUCAAGGCUGAGGUGUGAUGACGAGGCACUACGGUGCUGAAGUAACAAAUGCCCUGCUUCCAGGAAAAGCCUCUAAGCAUCAGGUAACAUUAAAUCGUACCCCAAACCGACACAGGUGGUCAGGUAGAGAAUACCAAGGCGCUUGAGAGAACUCGGGUGAAGGAACUAGGCAAAAUGGUGCCGUAACUUCGGGAGAAGGCACGCUGGUGUGUAGGUGAAGUCCCUGCGGAUGGAGCUGAGACCAGUCGAAGAUACCAGCUGGCUGCAACUGUUUAUUAAAAACACAGCACUGUGCAAACACGAAAGUGGACGUAUACGGUGUGACGCCUGCCCGGUGCCGGAAGGUUAAUUGAUGGGGUUAUCCGUAAGGAGAAGCUCUUGAUCGAAGCCCCGGUAAACGGCGGCCGUAACUAUAACGGUCCUAAGGUAGCGAAAUUCCUUGUCGGGUAAGUUCCGACCUGCACGAAUGGCGUAAUGAUGGCCAGGCUGUCUCCACCCGAGACUCAGUGAAAUUGAACUCGCUGUGAAGAUGCAGUGUACCCGCGGCAAGACGGAAAGACCCCGUGAACCUUUACUAUAGCUUGACACUGAACAUUGAGCCUUGAUGUGUAGGAUAGGUGGGAGGCUUUGAAGCGUGGACGCCAGUCUGCGUGGAGCCAACCUUGAAAUACCACCCUUUAAUGUUUGAUGUUCUAACGUUGGCCCCUUACCGGGGUUGCGGACAGUGUCUGGUGGGUAGUUUGACUGGGGCGGUCUCCUCCCAAAGCGUAACGGAGGAGCACGAAGGUUAGCUAAUCCUGGUCGGACAUCAGGAGGUUAGUGCAAUGGCAUAAGCUAGCUUGACUGCGAGCGUGACGGCGCGAGCAGGUGCGAAAGCAGGUCAUAGUGAUCCGGUGGUUCUGAAUGGAAGGGCCAUCGCUCAACGGAUAAAAGGUACUCCGGGGAUAACAGGCUGAUACCGCCCAAGAGUUCAUAUCGACGGCGGUGUUUGGCACCUCGAUGUCGGCUCAUCACAUCCUGGGGCUGAAGUAGGUCCCAAGGGUAUGGCUGUUCGCCAUUUAAAGUGGUACGCGAGCUGGGUUUAGAACGUCGUGAGACAGUUCGGUCCCUAUCUGCCGUGGGCGCUGGAGAAUUGAGGGGGGCUGCUCCUAGUACGAGAGGACCGGAGUGGACGCAUCACUGGUGUUCGGGUUGUCAUGCCAAUGGCACUGCCCGGUAGCUAAAUGCGGAAGAGAUAAGUGCUGAAAGCAUCUAAGCACGAAACUUGCCCCGAGAUGAGUUCUCCCUGAGACUUUAAGUCUCCUGAAGGAACGUUAAAGACGAUGACGUUGAUAGGCCGGGUGUGUAAGCGCAGCGAUGCGUUGAGCUAACCGGUACUAAUGAACCGUGAGGCUUAACCUU